GAUGAACGCUGGCGGCGUGCCUAAUACAUGCAAGUCGAGCGAACGGACGAGAAGCUUGCUUUUCUGAUGUUAGCGGCGGACGGGUGAGUAACACGUGGAUAACCUACCUAUAAGACUGGGAUAACUUCGGGAAACCGGAGCUAAUACCGGAUAAUAUUUUGAACCGCAUGGUUCAAAAGUGAAAGACGGUCUUGCUGUCACUUAUAGAUGGAUCCGCGCUGCAUUAGCUAGUUGGUAAGGUAACGGCUUACCAAGGCAACGAUGCAUAGCCGACCUGAGAGGGUGAUGGCCAAAACUGAAAUGGAGACACGUCCAAACUCCGUAGGGGGGGCAGAGGAGGGGAAUCUUCCGCAAGGGGGGAAAGCCUGACGGAGCAACGCCGCGUGGGUGAUGAAGGUCUUCGGAUCGAAAAACUUUGUUAUUGGGAAAGAACAUAUGUGUAAGUAACGGUGCAAAUUGUGACGGUACCUAAUAAAAAAGCAACGGCUAACUC
rnacentral:rRNA from 1 species